rnacentral:rRNA from 1 species
CCUACGGGAGGCAGCAGUGAGGAAUAUUGGUCAAUGGACGAGAGUCUGAACCAGCCAAGUAGCGUGAAGGAUGACUGCCCUAUGGGUUGUAAACUUCUUUUAUAUGGGAAUAAAAUGUUCCACGUGUGGGAUUUUGUAUGUACCAUAUGAAUAAGGAUCGGCGAACUCCGUGCCAGCAGCCGCGGUAAUACGGAGGAUCCGAGCGUUAUCCGGAUUUAUUGGGUUUAAAGGGAGCGUAGGUGGAUUGUUAAGUCAGUUGUGAAAGUUUGCGGCUCAACCGUAAAAUUGCAGUUGAAACUGGCAGUCUUGAGUACAGUAGAGGUGGGCGGAAUUCGUGGUGUAGCGGUGAAAUGCUUAGAUAUCACGAAGAACUCCGAUUGCGAAGGCAGUUCACUGGACUGCAACUGACACUGAGGCUCGAAAGUGUGGGUAUCAAACAGGAUUAGAUACCCGUGUAGUC